rnacentral:rRNA from 2 species
GGACUACACGGGUAUCUAAUCCUGUUUGCUCCCCUAGCUUUCGUGCCUCAGUGUCAGGAAUUGUCCAGAGACUCGCCUUCGCCACUGGUGUUCCACUUGAUAUCUACGCAUUUCACUGCUACACCAAGUAUUCCAGUCUCCCUUCCAAUCCUCGAGCGGGAUAGUAUUCAAUGCAGUUUCCGGGUUAAGCCCGGAGAUUUCACAUCAAACUUACCCUGCCACCUACGCACCCUUUACGCCCAGUGAAUCCGAACAACGCUUGGGACCUCUGUAUUACCGCGGCUGCUGGCAC